AGACAUAUCCUGAAUCAAGAUGCCAGCCCCUCCUGCACCCCACGCUCCAGAGGCUGGUCUGCUGAAUGAUGGCUGUAUCUGCCCCGAGGACACUGUGAGCCCCACUCCCAGGGUGAGAGGAGAAUGAUGGCAAAAGAAUUUGGUAUAUCCUUGCUCCCACCUUCCUGUUCUUGAAAGCACAGGACAUCUGUGGGAGAAAUAUCUCUGGAAGCCUUGAUGGAGAGUACCAACCAGUCUUCAUGUGAAGACACUCUGCGUUCCUCAGCACUUACCCGUGAUCUGCAUCCUUGACUAAUCAUCUCCUUGCGGAGAUGCCAGUGGAAGUGAUUGAGACAAAGGGGCGUAGCAUCAUCUUGAUGCUGAAGAGCUUUCAGAGGAGGCAGGAGGUGGGACUGCUGUUACACCUUGUUCCCAGCUGUUUUCUGCUCCCAAGGCUGUGCCACCCAUCUCGUUGCUGUGGCUUUCUCUUGUGGGGCCUGGGGACAGAUGCAGAAGCCAGGUGACACGGAUGCUUUGCUGCCAGCACGGGGCCUGAGGCUGUAUCCUGGUGGAGCCUGGGCAGGGGCUGAUUAGCUCAGGAGAGAUGGGAUGGGACAGGGUCUGCCCUAAUGCUGAAGGCCCAGCUUGAACCUCUGGGGGCGGGAGACCCUGUGUUGACAGCCAGAAGUCAGAGCACGUUGCUUCCUUCUGCUGUGGUGUCUCUGCCAUCUGCAAAUCCCUCCAGCAGCGGCACCCUGCCUCUGCCUUGUUCCCACUUUGUUUAGGCUAAAGCCAGUGGGUCUGUCUUCAAAGCAAAGUGCGGCUUUCCCUGUGGAAAAAUCUCACUCCUGACUUUUGCUCUGUCCCCACAUCAAGCCAGCUUUCAGUGCACUGCCUGUAAGCAACUGUUAUUUUUUGUGUUUGUCCUGCAGUGAGCCAUAGCGUUCUGUGUCACCAUACCUCUAGACAAGGCUGUGAAAGCAGUUGAGGACUUUUCCAACAACUGAUGCCUGCUGCUGCUGCUCACAGCCAGCACAAAGCCUUCCCACUGCCAGGCCUGCCUGCUCUGGGAUGCUGUGUUUAUUUCUGGGGUUAGAGGGGAAGGGGGGGAACUGUAUCUGGGUAUUUUAAUUAGAUAAUAAUAAUGGAAACAAGUGGCACUAUGGCCACUUCCUAAACAGAGACAUCUGUUUGUAGAGUCCUGGCCCUAUUGGAGAGCACUAGGUAGGACUCAUCAGGCCAAGUCGUCGCUGCAGCUGUGCUGGGCAGCCCUGGAGCCCACUGGCUCCUCACAGGGGUGCUGGAGCACACUGGGGGCAUCGCUCCCCUCCCACUGCCCGUGCACUGCUGGAUGUGGCACAGCACUGCUACAUACAAAACCCUACUGAAGUUAUUUGCCUCAGUCUCACACAUCUGAGUCUUGUAACUUUGCUGCUGGUUCAUUUUCAGGAGGGACAGGAUAUAUUAUGGAGCUAAAUUCUCACGGGCAAAUAAUAAGUCCUAGCACCUGCUGGCUGGAACCCACAGGCUGUGACCUUCUGUCUCCACCAAUGUUUGUAUUUUCCUCUGCGGGAAAGAGCAACAUGGUAAAGAAUUCCUAUUAUUUCAAAUAUUUCACCAUGGUGUUAUCUAGCCUAGUCUAAACAAUGGUCCCGAUUGCUCUUGAGAGUUGUACUCUGCAGGAGAAAACGGUAACAAAUGUUAUUCCCAGUGUGUUCCCCCCCACCACGGGGACACAGAUAUUUGUGACAUGGAAUGGCAGUGUGCUCCUGGAAGCAUCAAUCCAGAUACAUGUUAGCUGAAAAAAGAGGAAAAAAUUGCCUCCCUUGCCAAAUUCCAAACUGAUCCACCCAGAAGAAGAUCCAUGCUGUGAUGCUUCUGUCCUGGACGUGCCAUUUGUUAAUGCAGGAAGUGGAUCACAUCCCAGGCUCUGGGAAUGUGCAGAAUGUGUCACUUGCCCCAUUGCCUUACAAACGAUAAAUCUCUAAAACCUCACUAAAAGCUGUAAUACUGCAAAAGCUGCAGCCAUGGCAAUUAUUUGCCUUCAUGUUCACUGACCCACUGAAGGAACCAGGCUGUGAACACCCUGACUCUAGUGGGAAAUGCCUGGACAGCCAGACCUGACCCAAAUGUCCAAACACAGCCAAACUUCAGCCUGAAUACACAUAACACAGUUAAUCCCGACUUAAUUUAUGGCAGCCUGAACCUGAAUGUGAACUCACCCACUGUGUUACCAGAGAUCCGAACCUGGAUUUGGCUCCCAAAUAGCUUGGGUCUAGGUCUUGAAAUUACCCAGUUGUUGGCUGCAGUCUGCUUUGGAGCUGGAGAUUUAUUUCUCCAGGAGGCAGGAAAACACAUUGUGUUGCCAAACUACUUCCAGUCUUUUCCAGAAUUACAAGUCAGGGGAUGGUGGGUAAGUCUUGUGAUUUUCAUCCUACAAUCUAAACCAGAUGGACUACUCUCGCAGCAUAAAUAUUUAAGCAAAGAAAAGCAAAAAAAAAAAAAAAAAAAAAAAAGUUCAGUUUCUUAAUUAAUUGCAUUAUUAUGACUUGCACUAUUUAACAGAAUGCGCAUAAAGCUGGUUUACAAGAUAGCUUGAUCACCUUCUUUGAUUCAUCUCAAUAAAAUCUGGAGUUUUUGUUUUCUCGGGGAUAAUGAAGUAACUGUAGAAUAAUAAAGUGGCUCUGCUUAUUGGAAACAGAAAGCUCUCAGCUUUCGGAAGAAAAGAUCCUCUCGGUGAAGCUCGUGCUGUAUUAAUCCAAAAAUACAAAUAAGUGGAGGUGAUCUGGAAAGCCCGUGUUACGAACAUCAGCCCAGCAUUUCUGCCACUGAAGAUCCUCUUCUCCGGCCUCAACUCAAAAAAUCUUUGUGGCAGAUUUGGCAUUGCCUGUAAUAAUUUAUGAACGUGAUGUGUUGACAUGUUUACUGUGUGCAUACAUUGAGCUACUUCAAUCGCUGCCUUGUCAGGAAGUGUACCCAGGAGAGAACAGAUGAAUCCAGGCACGCGGUUUGGAGGAAACACUGGGGAGCUGAAGCAAGCGCCCUUUGCUGUGACAUUUUGGCUGGGCCCCUGCUGGGCUCACAGGAGAGAUUUCCCUGGGAGAACAUGGGUGCCUGUGAAGGAAGGCACAGAAGGCCCUGGGGGAUUCACAGUGAACCAUUUAAAUGGAGGCUUUGGAGAGUGAGAACCCGAAAGGGGCUGAAAGCGCUCAGAUCUGCAGGUACCUAAUUCAGUACAUGUUGGCGAUAAAGGGGAUGUGGAACAUUUGUUUAACCGCCGUGCCUUAUUUCAGUGGUGAAAUGGCUCUUCUGUUUUAUAAACAUGGUUUAGGUUGCACAAGAGAGCUGGAUGCCUCUGUUCCCAGGUCCAUUUGGGAAUCAUGGUGAUUGUGCUGGGUAGGCUGGCUGGAGUUUGGCAAAGCUACCUCAGCCUGCCUGCAGGAAGGUGAGAGCUUGAGGCCUGGCGGCCUUCCCCAGACGGGAAGGCAGAAAGGCCACUGAUAGCUGAGAUCCAGCAGUAACCAUAACAAUACCAUCAUCUUUCUUAAAAGUCCCAGCACGUAAUUCUACUAAUGACUUUUAUUAAACAUUUAAGCCUUAGCCUUCAAGUGAUUCAUAUUUGUUACAAAACACCAUCCCAUUAACACAAAGUACAAGCCGAAACAAAGUUAAUGAGCCCUAAUGCUUGCCGGAUAAUACGAAGUUUGAGUGAUACUAACAAAAAUAAAAUUAGGAAGAAAUCUA
ensembl:lncRNA